rnacentral:lncRNA from 1 species
GUGCUCUUGGUCCAUAUCUGCUUCUCCUUUUUGCAUUUCCCCCUGGCUUCAUUCUCUGAAGACUGCCUUUCUCUGGUCUUCAGUCCACAAAGAGGGCUGUAAUUAUAGGCCACAUGAAGAGGCAAGCUUCACACUGGACCUGAUUUUGAAAUUCCUGGGAAUUCUUAUAAAUCAAGACGAGGUAGUGGGCAUGGUCCUGAGAAGAAAACAAUCAAAUAGAUGCUCUCCUCAGACGUCACGAAGGAAGAAUAUAUAGGACCUUCAGUAACGCACAGACAUUAAGAAAAAACUUGGAGACUAUGGGGGCUUUGUACCUGGUGAUAGAAGCUCCAUUUCUUUUCCUCUGUGUUUCAGCUUGACCCUCCAACAAAGAAGGCUGGCAGAGAGUGUGUUGGAUUGGAUAGGUCAGUUUGGUACAGGUUGGCAUGGUGUAGAGUGUGAGCUGUUCUAUGACUGAGGCUACAAGAGAUAAAUAUUUAAGAACUGUGAGGUGCUGUUCUAAGAAAAUAUCCUUAAGGUCCUAAGUCACGUGCUUCAUUUUUGGAACACUAUUUGUUUGUAGUAAUCCUCAAAGGUUAGUUGAGUUCUACAUUAUCUUGCUGAGCCCGAGGAAUUUCUCAG